ACGACCUCAGCAAGAUGCUGCUUCCACAGCGCCUUGUCAAAUCCUUUACCGACAGAUAACGAUGAUUCCUGGAUUGAUUUGACGGUGGUGAUAUCUGCACACCGAUGCAGGCAGUUUCCACAAUGGCUUUCUAUUCACAAAGGUUAGACCCACCCACACGAGGGCAAGGCCUGGCUGUCUUCACGUCUGCACAACGAAAGUGAGUGUGUUAGAACUGGGUUCGGCAAUCUGUGUGUUUUGCAUAUUGUGCACGCACUGAUAUCAGUCGUUCAAAGUGUGAAAAAAUUGGGGGUGAGGGUUAUAAUUUAGAAUUGCAGCCAGUGCAUCGACUUGGAGGUGCUCUUUGCGUUAUUAUGGAGAUGCACAAGCCCUCCGUUUUCCGACUCUCCGAAGCACGUUCGCAGCCUCUUGGUAACCAUUCUAGUGUGCACAUCUAUCUAUCAAUCGAUAUAUAUAUAUAUAUAUAUAUAUAUAAAUAUAUGUCUAUCUGUGAGUCAGUCUGUACGUAUAUAUAUAUAUAUAUAUAUCUUUGUGUGUGUGUGUAUGGAUUUGUGAGUAGACCAUCAAUAGGCCGAUACUUGUUUUCUAUUCAUUAGAUCAGUAACUGGGACUUUGUCACUGCAUUGCUUGGAUCUUAAGUCUACACUGUGAAAAUGGGUGCGAAUUGAUCACCAUGAUAUAGUGUUGCUUCUGCUAAAUAAUUAGUACAGUUGCGUUGAAAGGAUUUUGGUUUUGGUUAUGAGAAUAUAUGGCAUUAUGGCUGUUCCUUAGAGAGACAUUGAUCUGACUUUGAAUAAUUUGGCUGUGUUUAGAUGCGUGAUUUGAUUUUGCUUGUUUCACUAUAUAUAAAAAUAUGUAUAUUUAGUUCUUUUAAAAAAAAUGACAGAUAUUCUUGAGUACGUAGUGAAUGAAAUAAAGUUUUGAAUUUUGAGUGUUUCUUGUUUUUAUUUCAUUAUUGAGAUUAAAAAGCAGACAUCAUUUUUUUUUUAUUGAUUAUAUCAGAUGCAGAUUGUUUAGAAAACACUCUUAUAGAAGUUUUCAAAAAUAUUCAACUAAGAUGGUAAAAUGAUUUUCAAAAUUUAACUGUGUUUCCUAUAUAUACUUUUUUCUUUCUUAAACAAAAAAAACCCGGAAUAAUCAGUGUAGAAUUUUUUAAUUUAAUUUAAUUAAAAACCAAAUACAUAAUAUGUAAUCUUAAAUUUUAUUUAAAAACUAAAAAUAUAUUUAGUAAAAAUUACGUUGUUAACUAUUAUUCUUUUCCAGCAAUGACUAAGAUUUUUUUAUUUUUAAAAUAUCCAUUCAGUGUAUGGAUCAUCAUUUAAAAGCACAAAACAAUUUGUGAGAACAAUUUGUAGAUUGCAGUUGAUUGAAGUUUCAACUCCUUUUGACAUCACUAAAGAUUCGACUUGUAAUCCAAAGUGACUACAUCAUUAUCGUUACAUAAACUACUCUUAAAAAUUAAACUUGUAUAAGAUUUCAGCAGAAUAACUUAAUGAAAUAAAUGACAAAUUCAAAUUUUCACUUUAAGUGAAAAAUCAUUUUAAAAUUCUAGUAUUUACUCAUUUAUUUUGAAUAUGUGAUUGUAAAAGGAUCUAAUUUUCCAUGGUAAAAUUUCAUUACCAAAAUUAAUAAUAUGGAUUUUGGGAUGUAAGCAUCCAAUUUUAUCUCAAAAGUAUGUACUGGACUAGCUUUUAUAAUUAAUCUAUAUGAAUAUAUGCUUCAUAUAAUUUUAUCAUUAUUAAUUUUGGAUAGAAAAGUCAAAAAAUAAAAAAUAAAACAAAGGAAGUUGUGAAAAAAGUCCUUAAAAUAUUAAAAUACUAAAACAUGUUCGUUUGUAUUGCAUAUAUUAGAAUCUCAAAAUACAAAAAUAAGUAACAAAUAGAACCAAUAUUAUUUCAAAUCACCAGAUUGUUAAUAUAUAUAUAUAUAUAUAUAUAAAAGAUAUAUGUAUGUGCAAUUGUGUUUAUUACCCAUUUAUAAGUUAGUAAAAAACUACCAACAUUAAACAUCUAUUAUAAAAUUUCGUUACCUUAAAUAAUGCAUAUGAAAACUGACUUGAAUUCCCCUUUUGCAGUUUGGAUAGGUGAAAAAAACAAACAGGUCUGUAUGGUUAGUAAUCAGACGUCUGUGUACUUGAAGGAAUGACAAAAUGGAUCUAUUAGCAAAUAAUUACGUUUUUUACUAUUAAUAUCCUGUAUAUAAUGAUUUCAACAUGUUAUUAAAAUCAAACUAACCAGAUAAUGAAACAACUUUUGAGGGACAAAAAUCAUAAAUUAUACAAGUUCUAAAGUAACACACAACAACCAAUUAAUUUUAAUAAUAAAUUUAUAAGAAGAAGAAUUUAUGAACUAAAAAUAAUCCAAAUUUUACCAAAAAAUAAAUCAUGGUAAAUACAUAAAUUAAU
rnacentral:lncRNA from 1 species